AUGCUCUACGGAGGAAAGUGGGGGACUCGCAAGGGCCUCACGCUAUGGGAGCGGCCGAUGUCCGAUUAGCUAGUUGGUGGGGUAAUGGCCCACCAAGGCGACGAUCGGUAGCUGGUCUGAGAGGAUGAUCAGCCACACUGGGACUGAGACACGGCCCAGAUUCCUACGGGAGGCAGCAGUGGGGAAUUUUGGACAAUGGGGGCAACCCUGAUCCAGCCAUGCCGCGUGCGGGAAGAAGGCCUUYGGGUUGUAAACCGCUUUUGGUCGGGAAGAAAAGGCAACUCCUAAUACGAGGUGUUCUUGACGGUACCGGCAGAAUAAGCACCGGCUAACUACGUGCCAGCAGCCGCGGUAAUACGUAGGGUGCGAGCGUUAAUCGGAAUUACUGGGCGUAAAGCGUGCGCAGGCGGUUCGCCAAGUCUGAUGUGAAAGCCCCGGGCUUAACCUGGGAAUGGCAUUGGGAAACUUGGCGGGCUUGAGUGUGGCACAAGGGGGUGGAA
rnacentral:rRNA from 1 species